CAAAUUGCAAAGAAAAGGCAGUGUCACACAGUUAACAUCUUCUUGAAGUUCUUGUAGUCAUCUCAAGCUCAUCCUCAGCCUCAGCUUAAAAUUGGGCUUUCAGGAAUGCUAUUACUAUAUGAUGAAGGGAUGACCAAUAAGAUAAUUGUUAAGGGAAACUUUCCAAUACAUAUACAAGUAUGGGCCAGUUUAUGACUUACUCAAAAUCUAUGCUGACUACCACACUUAUUACCAGUAUUUGGGUUGAGUUGGACCUAAUGAGAGACUCCAAAGUACCAUGCGGGUCUUCAUUACAGGUUACAACACAGAUGAGGAAACCUUCAACUACUUUAAUAGUUCAGAGUUCAGACACUGACUUUGAUUAAAAUGAGUUUGGAGCUGUAAAACUUGUUUUUUUUGGUCAGAUCCAGGCCAAAAGGGCCCAGACCCAAAAAAUUCCAAUCCCAGCCUAAUAAGAAAUCAACCCUGCGCCUAAGUUAGUCGAGAGUGGAGCUCCCUCCUUGCAGCAGCUUUCUCCUAGCAACUUCCAGUCACAUGAAUAAAUGGAAAUUGUGCAUAGUAUCAAAGCUCUUUGUGCUCGCCGGCAAGAACUUGAAGAACCCUCGUCAGUGUAGCAGAAACCCGUCGCCCAUCAUUGAAGCUGAACCUUAAAGAUGAAGCCUACAACAGAGCUUUUCCUUCCGAAGCCACAGCAAGGACGUCUCCGUGAACACCCUCCAGCACUCAGCAGCUCAAGUUGCGAUCUCGAUAGGUUGCCGAAGCUGUAACCGCAGCUGACCCACAUCAGGAACACCAAUCUUCGUGGCCACAUUACCUUGGGAUGCAUGCGGACCCACUGCCACAGAUCAGACAGAAUCGAAGAUGGAUUGUGACUCAAUGAAACUCAGCCUUCUUCCCUUAAUGCUACCGAUCUAUCAAGUCUUCUCUCACUCUUUGGAACAGCGUCAGAACACCCAAAUUCAAACAAGGAAGUGACAUGUCGUUCUCUCUUUUCAAAAUGUUCGCCAUGGUUUGCGGCUUGCACCCAAUCCUGUUGAAGAGAACCGCCGGCUGAAAGCUUGGCUACUUCAUGCGCUAAGGCAUUCCCGUCUCUAGGAACUCAGCUAAAGGCAAGGUGGCCGCUAUUUUAGAGUUUGAGGCUGUGAGAAGAUUUUCAGCGUGAUCUAUGAAUAAUACUGCUGCUGAGAGCUGUAAAACUUGGUUCGAUUGUUCACAUUUUUGUCACUUUAUUUGGGCCGGAGGUGAACAACUAUUCGGCCAAUAAAGUACUACUCCCAAAUCCCAAUUUGGAACCACCCGAAAGUCCACCCAAAACUCCAAAGUAGAAAGAAAAACCUUGUGUUAGAGGCUUGGUUGAGUGACACGGUGGAGAACUGGAGAUGGUAGCGCGAAGAGAGGUCAUACGGUGGACACCGUGAAGACUUGUGCCGUUACUCUUGCGGCGGCGUCUGUGUGGUCACGGUGGCUAUUUAUGGUGUGGGUAAUGGGUUGGCAGUGUGGUAACCAAGAACGAAGAACUUGUUGGCUAUGGUGUCUCAGUUUCAGCAAUCAUCGUGUGUUAUUGCUACAAAUUACCAAAAGUUUAAAUCUUUUGAAAUACCCAAAUGCUUGUUCUUCCUCAAUUUUCUCAAACAUUUUUGUUCUUCACCUGCACUUGCCUUCGAAGAACCUUGUGUUAAGAUUGAUCCUAGCUUCAAUUCGGACUCUUUCUAUGCUUCUCUUAUUGAUAAUUCAACACACAGGAACCAAUUGAAUCAGAUACAUUGCCAGUUAUAUGUCUCGGGGUUGCAGCAUAAGGGGUUUCUCAUGACAAAACUUGUUAAUGGAAGUUCAAAUAUUGGAGAAGUUUGUUAUGCACGCAAGGUGUUCGAUGAAUUUUGCCAUCCGGAUGUGUUUAUGUGGAAUGCUAUUAUUAGGAGUUAUUCGAGAAGCAACAUGUUUAGGGAGAGCCUUGAAAUGUAUAGCCGGAUGAGAUCGGCAGGGGUGCAUCCAGAUUGCUACACUUUUCCUUAUGUGCUCAAAGCUUGUACUGAGUUAUCGGAUUUCGGUUUGAGCCGGUUAGUUCAUGGUCAGGUGUUCAGAUAUGGGUUUGUUUUGGAUGUGUUUGUGCAGAAUGGCCUUUUGGCGUUGUAUGCUAAAUGUGGUCAAAUUGGUAAUGCAAGAGUAGUGUUUAAUAGGUUGUGUGAUAGAACUAUUGUUUCAUGGACUUCGAUCAUUUCUGGAUAUGCGCAGAAUGGGGAAGCUAUGGAAGCUUUGAGAUUGUUUGAUCAAAUGAGAAAAACCGAUGUGAAACCAGAUUGGAUUGCUCUGGUAAGCAUUCUGAGGGCUUAUACUGAUGUGGAUGACCUGGAGCAAGGAAGAUCUCUUCAUGGUUGUGUCAUCAAAAUGGGUCUUGAAGAUGAGCCCGAUUUGCAUAUUUCGCUUAUAGCAUUGUAUGCAAAAUGUGGUCAGGUGACAAUUGCAAGAUCUUUUUUUGAUCAAAUGGAGACGAAUAAUGUGAUUAUGUGGAAUGCAAUGAUAUCUGGUUAUGCAAAAAAUGGUCAUGCCGAGGAAGCAGUACAAUUAUUUCACGACAUGAUCAGAAGAAAUAUACGACCAGAUUCUGUCACUGUUAGAUCUGCAGUCUUAGCUUGUGCACAAGUUGGUUCCGUUGAAUUAGCACAAUGGAUGGAUGACUAUGUUACUGCGAGUAAAUAUAGAACUGACAUCUUUGUUAACACCACCCUCAUAGACAUGUAUGCAAAAUGUGGAAGUGUAGAAUUUGCUCGCAGGGUAUUCGAUCGUACAUCUGAAAAGGAUGUUGUUGUCUGGAGUGCAAUGAUUAUGGGAUAUGGAUUACACGGUCAAGGCUGGGAAGCGAUUUGUCUUUACCAAGCAAUGAAACAAGCAGGGGUUUGUCCAAAUGAUGUCACCUUUAUCGGGCUUCUCACAGCAUGCAAUCAUUCUGGCCUUGUAAAACAGGGUUGGGAGCUGUUCCAUUGCAUGAGAGACUUCGGAAUUGAGCCUCGCAAUGAGCAUUAUUCAUGUGUGGUUGACCUCUUGGGGCGCGCAGGUUAUCUAGACAGAGCUUUUGCUUUUGUCAUGACAAUGCCAAUUGAACCUGGUGUGAGUGUUUGGGGAGCACUUCUGAGUGCAUGCAAGAUCCAUCGCCAUGUAAUGAUGGGAGAAUAUGCAGCAAACAAGCUAUUCUCAUUGGAUCCUUAUAACACAGGACACUAUGUACAACUCUCUAAUCUUUAUGCUUCCUCGCGUAUGUGGGAUUGCGUUGCACGUGUUCGUGUUCUUAUGAAGGAAAAAGGGUUAAAUAAAGACCUUGGAUUCAGUUUAAUUGAAAUCAAUGGGAAACUGCAGGCAUUUCAUGUAGGCGACAAGUCGCAUCCAAGGACCGAGGAAAUCUUCAAUGAGCUUCAGAGAUUGGAGAAAAGGUUGAACGAGAUUGGGUUUGUCCCUCAUACAGAUUCUGUUCUGCAUGAUCUGAAUUAUGAAGAGAAGGAGGAGAAUCUUUGUGUUCAUAGUGAGAGGAUUGCAAUUGCUUAUGGGCUAAUUAGUACUGCUCCUGGAACGACGCUUAGAAUCAUAAAGAAUCUUAGAGCAUGUAUAAACUGUCAUGCAGCAAUAAAGCUUAUAUCAAAGCUUGUUCAAAGAGAGAUCAUUGUAAGGGAUUCAAAUAGGUUUCAUCAUUUUAAGGAUGGUUUGUGUUCAUGUGGAGACUAUUGGUGAGAGAGAUGAAGUGAUUUAUGAAUGGCUCAACCUCAAGACACCAUAGAGAAGAUAAAGAGAAAGAGAACGUUUGUUGUACGUUUUCAGAAUUCUAAAGUAGUAAUUGUUUUCAGGCUUCAAGGCAUAAAAUUCUGACAUGGAUUCAGAACCCAAGUGAUCCCUUUGUCUUUUUCGGCUUUCUCUUCUAUGUUUAGUUGGGAACAUCUCAUACUCUUUUGUUUGAAGCAGAGACCCUUAUUAUGUGCCUAGUUAUGAGUGACUUAUGGCGUUCCCCGCCAGUGGACUAUAUGACAAAGAUAUCCAAAUCCCUGACUCGUACCAUUUUAAAUCUCCUCCUAGUUCACAUACUCAUGAGCCAACUGAGAAGAGGAGUACAAGAUUUCAAGUUUGGUCAGUAUGGGCAAAACCAGGAUAAUGUGCUUCGGUGAUCUUGGUUUUCUUCGCCACCUCUUUUGAAAGGCUGUGCCUAAAAUUGCCCAUUCGACAGCCGAGCCUAGAAUUUUCUAUGCUCGAGUUCAUGAGUUUGAGGAAAUUCAUAUACCAUUUUGUGACUUUUAUAGCGAUUCUAUUGAUAACUCAGAGAGCUGUGAGAUUUGCAGUCUCAAGAAUUAUAAUGAAUUCUGGAAGAAAGCAAAAGAAUUAAAGGAUAAAGAAGCAGAUAAAGCAAAGGCAAUUCAUAACUAUGGAUAUUUUCUCCAUCCAAUUAAUUUUAGUAGCAUGUACCAAUCUUCCCAUGGAGACAAAUAAAUGAUGAACAGUGAAUCGGAUGGAAGGUGAAAGAGAUCUAGGAUGCCUGGUCCAGUAGUCCCUAGAAAAGUAUGAAAGACAUUACAACAAUGAUAUGUUUGGUAGUAACAAUUCUAAAAAAUACUUUGUAUUAAGUAUCUUAUACACUUUUUACUAUAAUAAUGAUAGGUUUAGAUAGUUAUAGGUGGUUUUAAAUUGUGAUUACAGUUUGUCACGGAGAGAAAGAAAAUGCAGCUGAUGUUGUCACAUGAAUUCAAUUGGAAUGGUGUUUAUGGUGAUGGAAUUCUUUGAAAUUUGUUUUUUUCUUGGUUGGUUGUUUGAAUUUCUAUGAGGCUUUGGAUUUUGGUGAUGGGUUCAAUGGUUUGAAUUAACUGUUAGAAUUUGAAAUCCAAUACUUACACGGAGAUUGUUUGAAA